CAGUAGCCGCGGGAAUACGGAGGGUGCGAGCGUUAAUCGGAAUUACUGGGCGUAAAGCGUACGCAGGCGGUUUGUUAAGUCAGAUGUGAAAUCCCCGAGCUUAACUCGGGAACUGCAUUUGAAACUGGCAGGCUAGAGUCUCGUAGAGGGGGGUAGAAUUCCAGGUGUAGCGGUGAAAUGCGUAGAGAUCUGGAGGAAUACCGGUGGCGAAGGCGGCCCCCUGGACGAAGACUGACGCUCAGGUACGAAAGCGUGGGGAGCAAACAGGAUUAGAUACCCCAGUAGUCCCUGUCUCUUAUAC
rnacentral:rRNA from 1 species